UAGUGAAUGCUGGCAUUUCAGCUACUGCAUUAAGCAGCACAUUCAAGUAGAGGUUGGUUUCAAGAUUCACAACAUUUAAGCUAAUCCCAUAGUACACGACAGAGCACAGUAAGUUAAUCGCCACAGUUAGAAACAACCGGACACGGGUGAGUGGUGAGCGGAUUACAUCAAUGAGAGAACCUGUUAUUGCUUCUUUAUUUGUUGCAGGUUCUUCAGCGCAACUAUGGUCGUUGCUAGAAGUUUUGUUUGCUUCUUCAUCAAGGGCCAAGAUAACAUCAUCAGGAAGGUGGUUUCCAUUCGAUUUAGCAAUCUUGCUCAUUAGUUUCAUUGCCUCGUUGAUUUUCCCACGAACAAGGUACCAUCGUGGGGACUCAGCGAUAAAAGGAAGGACAGUGACAAGGAAUAGAAUGGAAGGAACAGAGGAGGCAAUGUAGAGUUGCCGCCAGGAAGGAAAAAUGUAUGCUACACCUGAUAAUAUGGCUAUUCCAGUUGAGAAGAAAUAGAAUGUGGACAUGCCGGCGGUACCACGCUUCGUGGGGCCGAUAGGCUCAGUGGCAAGGACAAAAGCACAGAGGCCGACGCCUCCGCUGCUGAAACCCGUGAGGAGACGGAGAAGGAGAUAGGUCCAGUAGUC
rnacentral:misc_RNA from 1 species